UGGAAAAAGGAGUCCGGUCAAUUGACAAAACUUUCCUCUAAGAUGGCAUUCGUCCCGAAAGAGGGUUGACUGAGGUCGAUUUACUCUGGACCAGGACUGGAAAUUGAUACUUUAGGGGUAUCUCACGGUAAUGUAGCAUCGUCGAUCGGUUAUUGCAUGUAGUGAUGAUGCUCGACCAAGGAUUGUACCG
rnacentral:rRNA from 1 species